GACAUCUCCUUAAUCGGAGAGUUCCCUUCGGGGACAUUGGUGACCGGUGGUGCAUGGUUGUCGUCAGCUCGUGUCGUGAGAUGUUGGGUUAAGUCCCGCAACGAGCGCAACCCUUGUCUUUAGUUGCCAUCAUUAAGUUGGGCACGCUAGAGAGACUGCCAGGGAUAACCUGGAGGAAGGUGGGGAUGACGUCAAAUCAUCAUGCCCCUUAUGCUUAGGGCUACACACGUGCUACAAUGGGUAGUACAGAGGGUUGCCAAGCCGUAAGG
rnacentral:rRNA from 1 species